rnacentral:rRNA from 1 species
UAGGGAAUCUUCGGCAAUGGACGGAAGUCUGACCGAGCAACGCCGCGUGAGUGAAGAAGGUUUUCGGAUCGUAAAGCUCUGUUUUUAGAGAAGAACGUUGGUAGGAGUGGAAAAUCUACCAAGUGACGGUAACUAACCAGAAAGGGACGGCUAACUACGUGCCAGCAGCCGCGGUAAUACGUAGGUCCCGAGCGUUGUCCGUAUUUAUUGGGCGUAAAGCGAGCGCAGGCGGUUAUUUAAGUCUGAAGUUAAAGGCAGUGGCUUAACCAUUGUACGCUUUGGAAACUGGAGGACUUGAGUGCAGAAGGGGAGAGUGGAAUUCCAUGUGUAGCGGUGAAAUGCGUAGAUAUAUGGAGGAACACCGGUGGCGAAAGCGGCUCUCUGGUCUGUAACUGACGCUGAGGCUCGAAAGCGUGGGGAGCAAACAGG